CAGCCGCCGCGGUAAUACGUAGGGUGCGAGCGUUAAUCGGAUUUACUGGGCGUAAAGCGUGCGCAGGCGGCCCGUUAAGACAGGUGUGAAAUCCCUGGGCUCAACCUAGGAAUUGCGCUUGUGACUGGCGGGCUCGAGUACGGUAGAGGGGGGUGGAAUUCCUGGUGUAGCAGUGAAAUGCGUAGAGAUCAGGAGGAACACCGAUGGCGAAGGCAGCCCCCUGGGCCUGUACUGACGCGCAUGCACGAAAGCGUGGGGAGCAAACAGGAUUAGAUACCCUGGUAGUCCACGCCCUAAACGAUGGGUACUAGCCGUUUGGUGCGCGAUAGCGCUGAGUGGCGAAGCUAACGCGUGAAGUACCCCGCCUGGGGAGUACGGCCGCAAGGUUGAAACUUAAAGGAAUUGGCGGG
rnacentral:rRNA from 1 species